UACGGGAGGCAGCAGUGGGGACUUUUGGACAAUGGGCGCAAGCAUUAUCCAGCAAUGGCGCAAGACUGAAGAAGGCGUUCGGGUUGUAAAGAUCUUUCCGUCGGGAAGAAAAGGCUGGCUCUAACAUAACCAGUUGCUGACGGUACCCCCAGAGAAGCACCGGCUAACUACGUGCCAGCAGCCGCGGUAAUACGUAGGGGGCGAGCGUUGUUCGGAAUUACUGGGCGUAAAGCGUGCGCAGGCGGUUUGAUAAGUCAGGUGUGAAAUCCCCGGGCUUAACCUGGGGGGUGCGUUUGAAACUGGCAGGCUUGAGUGCGGGAGAGGGGAGUGGAAUUCCCCGUGUAGCGGUGAAAUGCGUAGAUAUGUGGAGGAACACCAGUGGCGAAGGCGGCUCCCUGGCCUGGUACUGACGCUGAGGCGCGAAAGCGUGGGGAGCAAACAGGAUUAGAUACCCUGGUAGUCCACGCCGUAAACGAU
rnacentral:rRNA from 1 species